rnacentral:rRNA from 1 species
ACGGGUGAGUAACACGUAUGCAAUCCACCUGUAACAGGGGGAGUAACCCGGAGAAAUCCGGACUAAUACCCCAUAAUAUGGGCGCUCCGCAUGGAGAGUUCAUUAAAGAGAGCAAUUUUGGUUACAGACGAGCAUGCGCUCCAUUAGCCAGUUGGCGGGGUAACGGCCCACCAAGGCGACGAUGGAUAGGGGUUCUGAGAGGAAGGUCCCCCACAUUGGAACUGAGACACGGUCCAA